GGGCUACCAUGCAGUCGACGGCAGCACAGAAGAGCUUGCUCUUUGGGUGGCGAGUGGCGGACGGGUGAGUAAUGUCUGGGAAACUGCCCGAUGGAGGGGGAUAACUACUGGAAACGGUAGCUAAUACCGCAUAACGUCGCAAGACCAAAGUGGGGGACCUUCGGGCCUCACACCAUCGGAUGUGCCCAGAUGGGAUUAGCUAGUAGGUGGGGUAAUGGCUCACCUAGGCGACGAUCCCUAGCUGGUCUGAGAGGAUGACCAGCCACACUGGAACUGAGACACGGUCCAGACUCCUACGGGAGGCAGCAGUGGGGAAUAUUGCACAAUGGGCGCAAGCCUGAUGCAGCCAUGCCGCGUGUAUGAAGAAGGCCUUCGGGUUGUAAAGUACUUUCAGCGGGGAGGAAGGCGGUGAGGUUAAUAACCUUGCCGAUUGACGUUACCCGCAGAAGAAGCACCGGCUAACUCCGUGCCAGCAGCCGCGGUAAUACGGAGGGUGCAAGCGUUAAUCGGAAUUACUGGGCGUAAAGCGCACGCAGGCGGUCUGUUAAGUCAGAUGUGAAAUCCCCGGGCUUAACCUGGGAACUGCAUUUGAAACUGGCAGGCUUGAGUCUCGUAGAGGGGGGUAGAAUUCCAGGUGUAGCGGUGAAAUGCGUAGAGAUCUGGAGGAAUACCGGUGGCGAAGGCGGCCCCCUGGACGAAGACUGACGCUCAGGUGCGAAAGCGUGGGGAGCAAACAGGUUAGCCCCUGGU
rnacentral:rRNA from 1 species